GAUGAAGAACGUAGCGAAAUGCGAUACUUGGUGUGAAUUGCAGAAUCCCGUGAACCAUCGAGUCUUUGAACGCAAGUUGCGCCCGAAGCCACUAGGCCGAGGGCACGCCUGCCUGGGCGUCACACGUCGUUGCCCCCCCCCCCAUCUACUCCUUCGGGAUUGCGGGGGGCGGAUGAUGGCCUCCCGUGCGCCUAGCCGCGCGGUUGGCAUAAAUACCAAGUCCUCGGCGACGCACGCCACGACAAUCGGUGGUUGCGAAACCUCGGUUGCCCGUCGUGUGCGUUCGUCGCGCAUCGAGGGCUCGAAAAAAUGCUCGGCUCCGGCUCGGCUUUCAACGUGACCCCAGGUCAGGCGGGGUUACCCGCUGAAUUUAAGCAUAUCAGCGGAGGA
rnacentral:misc_RNA from 1 species